rnacentral:rRNA from 1 species
UACGUAGGUGGCAAGCGUUAUCCGGAAUUAUUGGGCGUAAAGAGCGCGCAGGUGGUUGAUUAAGUCUGAUGUGAAAGCCCACGGCUUAACCGUGGAGGGUCAUUGGAAACUGGUCGACUUGAGUGCAGAAGAGGGAAGUAGAAUUCCAUGUGUAGCGGUGAAAUGCGUAGAGAUAUGGAGGAACACCAGUGGCGAAGGCGGCUUCCUGGUCUGUAACUGACACUGAGGCGCGAAAGCGUGGGGAGCAAACAGGAUUAGAUA